UAAUGAUUCACAGUUAACUAGUGUGUGUGU
rnacentral:piRNA from 1 species